AUACGGAGGGUGCAAGCGUUACUCGGAAUCACUGGGCGUAAAGCGCGCGCAGGCGGCUAUUUAAGUUGGAUGUGAAAGCCUACGGCUCAACCGUAGAACUGCAUCCAAAACUACUUAGCUAGAGUGUGGGAGAGGAAGAUGGAAUUAGUUGUGUAGGGGUAAAAUCCGUAGAGAUAACUAGGAAUACCAAAAGCGAAGGCAAUCUUCUGGAACACUACUGACGCUGAGACGCGAAAGCGUGGGGAGCAAACAGGAUUAGAAACCCUAGUAGUCC
rnacentral:rRNA from 1 species